AAAAGGAAAAAUCAAGCCCUAAACGGAGCAUGACGAAGAAGGAGAGGAAGAGAAAGUGAGAAAGAAUGGCAAAAUGACUUGGGAUGACCAAAGAGUUCUUCAGGAGGAGGGAUGGAAGUCAAUAAUCAUGGUUUAGAUGGUUUCUUCCUUGUCGAAUCUAAGAUGAAAGUGUAGGGAUUAAAGUGUGGAACUGAAAGCCUAUCUAGAAAUUUGCAGGUGAUGUAUGCUUUGUCGCUAGACAAGUCAAAUCUGGCUGUUUCAAAGUAUCAGGCUGAGUGCAUGGAUGCUAAAGGAUUAGUAGAACCAAACCAUCAAACUCUAGAGAAGGAUCACAAUGAUAACUAGUGUACCUGCUGGAAGUGGCAAACUGAACUAUGGAGUGAGUGACUUCAAGGAAAAAUGUUGUAGAAGAUCUUCAUGGAUCACCAGCAUGACUUUUAGCAUAUGCAUACAUAAAGAAAUUUCAUGAUAUGCUACGGAUCUUAGUACUAAAAAUAGUUUACAUGUACUAAAUCUUACUAGCUGGGGGUAUGUUAUAGAUUAAAUCUUAAGCUGGAUGUGUGUUUAGUUUAUCCACUUAAUCAUGCUAUAUAACAACUAUGCAAUGUUCUAUAUAUGUUAUUAGUAGUCCUAUUGAUGAUGGUGUGCUUUUAUAUUUUGCUUAUGCUAUCUUAGUAGUCCGUUGGAAAAAAUAUUAACAUAGAUGCAUUGAAGAAAUGUAUUAGUACAAGACAAUGGUCUCAUAUAUAUUAUGAAAUAAUUGCAAUAACAAUUAUGGAUAGGAUUGCCUAAAGGUGAUAUAUAAACCUAUUCUUUCAUCUUGUACUUUAAUUGGUAAAAAAGUAAAUUUAUGCCCCUGUUUUUUAUUUCUUUCAUGCACAGACUAUAUAUAUAUAUAUAUAUUAUAUGCAUCGGUAACAAUGGGUUAUAAUGUUUUUUCAAAGGAUAAUUCAUGGGCUUGGUUUAUCUUAGGAUUGCAUUUUUCAUCUUGCCAUGGCAUAAUAAGUUACUGUGGAGAUUGGUGGCUCAAAAAAGGAGGUAUAAUAUUAAACCAAAAAUAUAUUUCAAUGAACUUUACACAACUUUAUUAUCAAUUAAAGAUGUGAAUAUUUGAAAUAUAUUUCUAUUUCAUUCACAUUUACAUACUUUUUAGUCAUGAUUCUUUCAAGAAAAAAGGUAUAUAUUAAAUCAUAAUUUUAGUUCUUGGGUUGCUGCAAAUACAUAUCGAUGGCAGAAUAUGAUGAUCACAUAUUAGAAAAUUUUAAGGUCUAUUUCAUUUUUCUACAUUAAGCCCACUCAAACUAUCCCACUUGCAAAUUUUGAUGAUCCAAUUGGAAAUUUCUCCAAUAAUCAUCAAGAAGAUUAUAUAUUUUGGAGUUAAUAUUCUUUGCCUUGUGGUAUUGGAUAAGAGUCAGACAUUAUAAUCCAUUUGUUACUCAAAUUAAUAUUCAUAUGUUUUGUACAUUGAAAAACAUUUAAUAUUUUUGUGGUUAGGUUGAGAUACUAGUUUUGUACAUUUGAAAUUUGACUCCUAACAAAUUCUGCAAAAUGCCUGCACCUCAGUUGAAGAAUUUUGAAGGUCUUUUAUCGACUGCAGUAAACUCUUGUGAGUGGAUUAUUUAAAUUCUGCAUAGAGCAGGUAAUUCACCAGAAGAAUUCUGAUAGCAGUUAUAUUUCUUGGUGAUAAUAUACCUAAAACAAAUUUGGAAAAGGAAGGUGUAUUUGCUAUAUGAUAAUAACAAUUCCGAUACAUAGCUGCAUUAGCCAUUCCUUACGAUAGUUACUUGGUUACAUGGAUGACUUUCUUUGUUUGUUUUUCCUUUUAUAAACAAAGAAUCUGACGAUAGUUGCUCUCUUUCUUUGUUUGACAGGUUCAACUUAAAGAAGCUCACAUACGAAGAAAGGAAGAACCAAUUAAUUGAAGGAUUGACUAAAUUUGGGCAGUGGCAUAAAUUUUCAAAGGAACAUGGAUACAACCUUUUUUCUUUGGGGACAUGUUUACAACCUUUCUUUAUCAUAGUGUUGGGAAUGAGGAGUGUACUUGAUUAGGCUGAUAAUGCACAUGUCGUAUAGAGAAACCUGGCUUUCCUUGUGUCCAUGCAAUUGCAGCAUGUAAGUAUCAACAUAUUUCUCAAGGAGAGAAGCAUCAUCAAUAUAGAUGCGGGAGGUGCAAACAGAUUGGUCACAGCAGCCGAUCAUGCUCAGCCGCCAUAUCUUUUGAUAGCACUGCCAGCCAACAGCACCAUUCAACUGAAGGACCAUAAAUAGCUCUACGCUAUAUUAAGACAAUGGGGGCAUGUUAUGUGGUAUGCAUGUGUUAUGCAAUGUAGUAAGGAAUGCAAUUAGUAGCUCAACCGCGUAACGUGUGUUUUGGCAUCAUAGAUGUUGGUUUUCUGUUGUUUUGUUGGAAAAAGUCAUCUGUCGUAUU